UCGCGUCAGUACCGUGAACGCUUCAAAACAAAAUCGUGUUCGGUGGAAAGUUUCUUCAUUUGUGAUUGAAAUGAUCGAGGAACACGACGAGCACGAAACAAUAUGCGACUCAGUGAAUUCGCUGGUGGAAGGCUGCCGUUUACCAGUCAGAAUGCAUGGAACGGAUGAUUGGCCUCUUGCUGAAAUCAUCAGUGUUAAAGAAGUACAUGGUGUCAAGUGUUAUUAUGUUCACUAUGUAGAUUUCAAUAAACGAUUAGAUGAAUGGGUUACGGAAGAUUGUUUGGACACUCGAAAAGUCCAAUACCCUCGUCGAGAUGGAACCACACCAGGAACUGGUGCAGCAACGCCAAAAAAACAAGUACCCAGUAGACCACCUAGCCCUAGUAGCCUUUGUAAUGAACCAGUCAAUGGUUCUGCAGUUUUGCAAGCUGCAUUACAAAAGAAAAUGUCUAGAAAAAGAAAGGCCACAUUUAUAGAAAAUGAUGAUUCUCAGGAUGGUCCACCGCAAACACCUGGUCCAAGGCCAACUGGUUCAUUAGUGGCGCAUCAUCAUGAUGAUAUAGUUACUAGAAUGAAAAAUGUUGAACUGAUAGAAUUGGGUCGUCAUAGAAUAAGACCUUGGUAUUUCAGUCCAUAUCCGCAAGAGAUGGUACAUUUACCAUGUAUAUACAUUUGUGAAUUCUGUUUGAAAUAUAGAAAAAGUCGAAAAUGUUUAGAGCGACAUUUAGCAAAAUGUAAUUUAAGACAUCCACCUGGCAAUGAAAUAUAUAGAAAAGGUUCAAUAUCAUUUUUUGAAAUUGACGGUAGAAAAAACAAAAAUUACGCACAAAAUCUAUGUCUAUUAGCAAAAUUAUUUUUGGAUCAUAAAACGCUAUAUUAUGACACAGAUCCAUUCUUAUUUUAUAUAAUGACAAAUUUUGAUAGUAGAGGAUACCAUAUAGUUGGUUACUUCUCGAAGGAGAAAGAAUCGUCCGAAGAUCACAAUGUAGCUUGUAUUCUUACACUGCCACCGUAUCAAAGAAGGGGUUACGGAAAAUUAUUAAUAGAAUUUUCAUACGAAUUAUCCAAAUUCGAAGGUAAAACAGGUUCACCUGAAAAACCAUUGUCGGAUUUGGGAUUAUUAUCUUAUAGAAGUUAUUGGGCUCAUACUAUAUUGGACAUUCUAUUGAACGUAAAGCCAUUAGUAGAAAAUGAAAAACCUCAAAUCACGAUAAGUGAGAUAUGCGAGCUGACGUCGAUUAAGAAAGAAGACGUGAUAUCGACGCUUCAAAAUUUGAAUCUUAUUAAUUACUACAAAGGACAAUAUAUUGUGACAUUGAAUAGGGAGAUUAUCGAGCAACACACAGCCGCAAUGGAAAAGAGGCAAAUCAGAAUAGAUCCUAAGUGUCUUCAUUGGACACCAAAAGACUGGAGUGUUAGGGCAAAAUGGUGAAGUGGCAUUCAAAAUUGACAAUAAGACUAUGCUAAUUUGUCUUAAAGUUGUUUUCAGGAUUCCUGGAAGUGUGACUAAUUGUACGUAAACUGUACAUAAUACAUCGACCAUUCGGUCUGCGUUUUUUAAAUAAGACUGUAUAAGGCUUUGCACGCGAUGCCAAUGGUCAAAAACGACAAAAUGAAAAAAAAAAAAAAAAAAAAAGUGAUAAACAUUUUCACGAAAGCACUAUGUACCUUAGUUACACAGCGCAUCGAUGAAUCACAGUUAGCGAUAUUUGACGAGAUAAGAAAGAAGUAUUUCUGUUAAAUAUAUGAUACUGGCUUGCGUCUAGAGUCAGAAGCAAUGUUUUAAUAUGGUGACUAGACUUUUUUAAAAAUUCGCAUACGUUCUUGCGAUUAAACGAUUUGUACAGGAAAUAUAAAUCGGUCUUGUAGAAUUGUAAAUAAAUCUGAUUUUAUAACGUGCGCCUCAUUCUCUGCAAAAAUACAAAUGCGAUCUAGUUUUAAAAUACGUAAUUUAAUAGUAUAUCGAAGCUUCAAGCGGUGAAGCUUGCGCAUAAAAAUUCGUAUAUGUCCUUUUUGAAAUUAAUAAGCAAAAACUGAUUAGUACAACGCAGAAGUUGUAUGCACGCAAGUAUUCGCACAAUUGUGCACACACCUUGAAAAACACAUAUUAGAUAUUCCAAUUUGCGUGUGCACGUAUCAUAGACGGAUGGUAAUCGAGAAAUAAUCGUUUAGAAAAUAAAAAUAAAAAACAAAAAAAAAAAAGAAAGGAAAAAUAAAUUGAAGAAAAGGAAAAAAAAAAAAAAAGACAAAGUAUAGAAGGAGAAGAAGGAGAUACGUUUAGAGUAAUCGGAUUCACUCGUAAUCUCAUCAUAUUCGACAAAGUAUGAGCUUUUAUUUGGCAUUGUAUUAUCAAUGGCUGUGUUUGAACUUGAAAAACACUCGAGCAUAAAUCAUCCGUCUGAAUCCGAUUCAAGAUUGUUCUACCAAAAAGAAGAGUUACCUAUGAACUGCGAAAUAAAAAAUAUUUUUCUCUGAAAAAUGUGUAUUUUUGAUAGCGUUGAACUGAUAUCAUUAGCCAACAGAACGAGCUGGAGGAGAAAGAAAAGAUAAAAAGAAUGAAUAGAAACAGAAAGAAUCUUCCAAUUUGUUCUUUUUUAUAAAUAUUUUCAUUUCAAUUUUUCUCAUAUUUCCACUUCCACAAUACAAUUAAUACACAAUCGUUGUUCAGCAAGAAGGUGUAAAUAAGAAAACACUCCUCGUACAAUUUUUAAAUACAGCAUCUUUCAUGUAUAUAUAUAUGUAUAUAUAUAUAUAUAUUUAUAUAUAUAAUUUUUUUAUAUUCAACAGUAACAUCACAGUAGCUUCAUUACAAUAAAUUUUCUUUUUUUUCUUUUUUUUUUUUUUUUUUUUUUUUUUUUUUUUUUUUUUGUCAUAAUUUCAUCUGUCUUUGUAUUCGUUCCACCACGUCAACGUGACUCACGGCGAGUCCCGAAUGUUCGCUAAUUUUUACAAAAAGUUUCCUAGUAGAUUCUUCGCGCGUCAGCAGUGGGGGAGGACAAUGUGACAGAGGAAUCUGUCGUGUGUACGAUAUGCACGUAUUUACCACGCAUACAACCAGAGGAAUAUUACAAACUUAGGAUCGCAAAUAUUAUUCGGAUCCUCAUCGUUCGUAUUCUCCGAGAAAAAAAAAAAAAUCAUCACACAUCUGAUUUUUCUACACGAGAAUAUGAAAUAAUCGUAAAUAACCAUGAGUUCAGCGAUAUACGACGUGUUUCAAGAAAAAUGCAGGAGGACAGGAAUCCGAAUGAUAUUGCUGACAUAACACGAAGCACUGUGUCAUAGUUGGAGAUAGCGAACAAACGAAAAACGUAUCACGGCGAUUGUGAUAGACGAAUAUAAUAUCGAAUUGUCGAAGCGAUCAAAACCUCUUACGAUGAUCGUAUUGAAAUACCAACCUCUCGGUUUCCUAUAGACACAACGAGAGUAUCCGGGUACUUGAGAAACACUUGAUGAACAUUAGGCGAGGACUCGGAUACCCCGAGAACGCUAUUUUUACUGGACCUGUAAAAUUCUUUUUUGGAUAUUUCUGCGUGUACUCGAGCACUCGGUUAAUCUUCAUUCGAUUCAGCGUGCAUACUCCGGACCAGUGAUAUCAUAUAUAGAUGUAGAAAUUGGCGGAUAGAUUUAUAACAACAAUAACAACAACAACAAUGACAAUGAAGAUCCGAAGUCGACGAAAGUUGUCGACAAAAGUGAACAGCGAGUUUUUUUUUAACAGUGAAUAGUGUUAGAACGAUGACAAUGAGAAUUAUUGUUAGAUGACGGGAUGUAUUUAACCCUUUUGUACUUUUUAAAACUUAUAAUAAUUAUAAGUUUUAAAAAUAUAUAUAAAAAAAACAUGCAUAAAACUAUUGAUUAACUAAUCGAAUAAUAAAAU